GGGGGGACCACCCUCCAACCCUAAAUACUACCCAGUGACCGAUAGCGUAUAGUACUGUGAAGGAAAGGUGAAAAGCACCCCGGGAGGGGAGUGAAAAAGAACCUGAAACCCUGUGCCUACAAGCACCUAGAGCACGUCAAAGUGUGAUAGGGUACUUUUUGUAGAACGGUCCGGCGAGCGAUUGUAUGCAGCAAGGUUAAGGACUUAAGGUCUGGAGCCGAAGCGAAAGCGAGUUUGAAAAGGGCGUUAAGUUGCAUAUAAUGGGCCCGAAACCGGGUGACCUACCCAUGGUCAGGUUGAAGUGGAAGUAAAAUUCCAUGGAGGACCGAACCGACCUCCGUUGAAAAGGCGGCGGAUGAACUGUGGGUAGCGGAGAAAUUCCAAUCGAACCCGGAGAUAGCUGGUUCUCCCCGAAAUAGUUUUAGGACUAGCCUCAAGUUAGAUACCUGGAGGUAAAGCACUGAAUAGCCUAGCGGCCGAGAGGUUAGCGAAGCUUAUCAAACUCAGAAUGCCAGAGUAUUGAUGCUUGGGAGUCAGACAGUGUCAGAUAAAUGUCAUUGUCAAAAGGGAAACAGCCCAGAUCUACAGCUAAGGUCCCAAAGUCAGGUUAAGUGGAAAACGAUGUGAAGAUACGCAGACAACCAGGAUGUUGGCUCAGAAGCAGCCACUCAUUCAAAGAGUGCGUAAUAGCUCACUGGUCGAGCGUCUUUGCGCGGAGAAUUUAACGGGGCUAAACCUGACACCGAAGCUUAGGCAAUCCAGCAAUGGAUUGGGUAGGGGAGCGUUGUAUACGCGGAGAAACAGUAGCGUAAGCGGCUGUGGAGUGUAUAGAAGUGAGAAUGCCGGAAUGAGUAGCGCGAAUGCAGUGAGAAUCUGCAUGGCCGAAAGCCUCAGGUUUUUGGAGGAAGGUUCGUCCGCUCCAAGUUAGUCGGGAGCUAAGGUGAGGCCGGAAGGCGUAGCCGAUGCACAGACGGUAGAGAUUCCGUCACCACCGAAAGAGUUAAGCACAGGGACACAUUUGAAGUCUCAGAGCCGGGUGUUGGUUCCGGUAGAGAUCGAGGGAAAUUAGUACCGAAGUCUGGGAUGGAAGAUGGCGAGAAAAGCUGUGUGUAUUUCUGAGGUGCCCGUACCGCAAACCGACACAGGUAGGUAGGAAGAAGAUUCUAAGGCCAACGGGAGAAGGGUUGUUAAGGAACUCGGCAAAUUGACCCCGUAACUUCGGGAGAAGGGGUGCUCCAGAGAUGGAGCCGCAGAGAAUCGGCCCAAGCAACUGUUUACCAAAAACACAGGUUUGUGCUAAAUCGAAAGAUGACGUAUACGAGCUGACGCCUGCCCGGUGCUGGAAGGUUAAGAGGAGAUGUGCAAGCAUUGAAUCGAAGCCCCAGUGAACGGCGGCCGUAACUAUAACGGUCCUAAGGUAGCGAAAUUCCUUGUCAGGUAAGUUCUGACCCGCAUGAAAGGCGUAAUGAUUUGGGCACUGUCUCAACAGCCCGCCCGGCGAAAUUGUAGUACCGGUGAAGAUGCCGGUUACCCGCGACAAGACGGAAAGACCCCAUGGAGCUUUACUGUAGCCUAAUAUUGGGUUUCGAUGUUGCAUGCACAGGAUAGAUGGGACACUGGGAAACAAUCGCUUUGGCGGUUGCGGAGUGGCCGUUGGGAUACCAUCCUUGCGAUAUUGGAAUUCUAACCUGCGGCUCUGAAUCGAGUCGGGGGACAUUGUUAGGUGGGCAGUUUGACUGGGGCGGUCGCCUCCUAAAAAGUAACGGAGGCGUUCAAAGGUUCGCUCAGCUUGAACGGAAAUCAAGCAAAAGAGUGCAAACGCAGAAGCGAGCCUAACUGCGAGACUGACGGGUCGAGCAGUAACGAAAGUUGGAGUUAGUGAUCCGGUGGUAUGUGAGUGGAAAUGCCAUCGCUCAACGGAUAAAAGUUACCCUGGGGAUAACAGGCUGAUCUCCCCCAAGAGUCCACAUCGACGGGGAGGUUUGGCACCUCGAUGUC
rnacentral:rRNA from 1 species